CAUAACCAAGGAAAGAAUUAAACAACUGAAAUGCAAAACACUACUAAAGAAAAGGACAAAUCUGAUUCUUUACUCUUCAUAUAGUUAAAAUUUAUAUUCAUUCUCAGAGGAACAACGAGCUGGAAGCCACACAGCCUCCCGUGUUUUCAAAACCGUAGUUCUAAAAUAACGGUCACCACACAGUAUAGUUAUUUGCCUGAGUUUCUGAAAAGGACUUCUUUCCUUGAUAUGAAGAAUCAGAAAUGUGUCCAGCGUUCCAGCCAAAGCCUUACCAGGAUUUUCUACAGUGGAACUAAUUCUUUCAUACUCCUGACCUUAUCUGCCUGGUUCUUCACUUCUCUUGCCCCUUACUCAGAUCCCUUAAACAGAUCCUGAUCCUUGGCAAACAGGACAAAAACAUGGCAGGCUGAUACAAAAUGUAUUGGGCAAAGAUAUAUGAUUUUCAUCCUGCAGCUUGAAGUCUCAACUCCCGUGUAGAAACCAGAUGAAGAGGAGGCAGCAGGCUGCUGACUGUGGGAUGUAGCAGAACCUACAUCAAGGUCCAAAGUGCUAUUAUUCCAUUGUUGUUUUUUCUUCUGUAUCCUCUUGUUUUGGAACCAUAAAAGCUUAUCCCAUGGAAGCUAUGCAUCCUUACGCCCCCUGUUCUCCUCUAACUGUAGCAGCUAAAGGACAAAUAAAUAAUGGCACAGCUUCACUGUUUUGCCUCCCUCAAUCAAAGGGCCUUUUCUGUCUGUACUUUCCCUGUUACAUGUUUGAUAUGAUUAACUCUGUCUCUGACAGAAUG